rnacentral:rRNA from 1 species
GACGAACGCUGGCGGCGCGCCUAACACAUGCAAGUCGAGCGGAGUUCUUUUGAUGAAGUUUUCGGAUGGAUUCACUUGAACUUAGUGGCGGACGGGUGAGUAACACGUGAGCAACCUGCCUAUCAGAGGGGGAUAACGAUUGGAAACGAUCGCUAAUACCGCAUAACGCAGCGAGGAGGCAUCUUCUUGCUGCCAAAGAUUUAUCGCUGAUAGAUGGGGCUCGCGUCCGAUUAGAUAGUUGGUGAGGUAACGGCCCACCAAGUCGACGAUCGGUAGCCGGACUGAGAGGUCGAACGGCCACAUUGGGACUGAGACACGGCCCAGACUCCUACGGGAGGCAGCAGUGGGGGAUAUUGCACAAUGGGGGAAACCCUGAUGCAGCGACGCCGCGUGAGGGAAGACGGGUCCU